UACAUGUGGGGCAAGCGUUGUUCGGAAUUACUGGGCAUAAAGGGUGCGUAGGUGGCUUGUUAAGUCAGGGGUGAAAGUUUUCGGCCCAACCGGAAAAUGGCCUUUGAUACUGGCGAGCUCGAGUGCGUGAGGGGUAACCGGAACGAGCAGUGUAGCGGUGAAAUGCGUAGAUAUUGCUCGGAAGGCCAACGGCGAAGACAGGUUACUGGUGCGCAACUGACACUAAGGCACGAAAGCGUGGGGAGCAAACAGG
rnacentral:rRNA from 1 species